GUAGGUGGCAAGCGUUGUCCGGAAUUAUUGGGCGUAAAGCGCGCGCAGGUGGUUCUUUAAGUCUGAUGUGAGAGCCCCCGGCUCAACCGGGGAGGGUCAUUGGAAACGGGGGAACUUGAGUGCAGGAGAGGAAAGUGGAAUUCCACGUGUAGCGGUGAAAUGCGUAGAUAUGUGGAGGAACACCAGUGGCGAAGGCGACUUUCUGGCCUGUAACUGACACUGAGGCGCGAAAGCGUGGGGAGCAAACAGGGAUUAGAUACCCUGGUAGUCCACGCCGUAAACGAUGAGUGCUAAGUGUUGGGGGGGUUUCCCGCCCCUCAGUGCUGCAGCUAACGCAUUAAGCACUCCGCCUGGGGAGUACGGUCGCAAGACUG
rnacentral:rRNA from 1 species